AUCCUGGCUCAGGAUGAACGCUGGCGGCGUGCCUAACACAUGCAAGUCGAACGAAGCACUUCGAUUUCUUCGGAAUGAAAAAGUGACUGAGUGGCGGACGGGUGAGUAACGCGUGGGUAACCUGCCUCAUACAGGGGGAUAACAGUUAGAAAUGACUGCUAAUACCGCAUAAGCGCACAGUAUCGCAUGAUACAGUGUGAAAAACUCCGGUGGUAUGAGAUGGACCCGCGUCUGAUUAGCUAGUUGGUGAGGUAAUGGCUCACCAAGGCGACGAUCAGUAGCCGGCCUGAGAGGGUGAUCGGCCACAUUGGGACUGAGACACGGCCCAAACUCCUACGGGAGGCAGCAGUGGGGAAUAUUGCACAAUGGGGGAAACCCUGAUGCAGCGACGCCGCGUGAGUGAAGAAGUAUUUCGGUAUGUAAAGCUCUAUCAGCAAGGAAGAAAAUGACGGUACUUGACUAAGAAGCCCCGGCUAACUACGUG
rnacentral:rRNA from 1 species